AAUAAAGUGCCUGAUUAAAGGGUUAAUUUGAUAGAUUAAAUAAUGAAAUUUGAUAAUU
rnacentral:tRNA from 1 species